UCACAAACCUAGUGUGGAAUUUGAUGUUGUUUAAAUGUAUUCUACUAAUCGUAUCGUUAUAAUUCAGCUUAUGUGUGCUUUUGCGGGAUUGAUUCCUGUGCUGAGGAUAUGGGAGCUGUCUGUGUGUGGAGGGUUGCUGGGGGGAGGUAGCUUGAGUGAAGGAAUUUGCAGCUGGUGAUGGCCGAGAUAAGAGCAAAACUUGAAGGAGAAAACACACAGACAAAGAAGUGCAUGCUUUUGAUAUUAGUUCAAUGGCAAUCAUUCAUUUCCAGAUUGUUACAUGUAGAGGUGUUUGGAUUUAUAAAAUUAUAUGUUGCUAUGAAUAUUAAUGUGUUAAAAUAUAUAAAUGAUUAUGCCUUUGUGCCCAUGACUAAUGUAGAAGAUUGCCCUGUAAUAAGACAUUGCCAUAUAGGGAUGAAAUGCUCGAGGGCACAAAGUGUGUGUGUGUGUGUGUGUGUGUGUGUGUGUGUGUGUGAGCCGGGGGGCUGUAAAAAGCCCUGGAGGGAAAACACCCAGAACAGAUGGUUUCAAUAAACAAGUUGCUUGCUUUAUAACUGUGUUACAUUUAGAGAAAGUGAAAAUUAGUAUGUUUAACUAAUGAAUGCAUUUAACCAAUUUAUGAACAAUGGAGUAUUGUUGUGUUGUUGAAUAAUGUUUUACAUAUUUACUGCCUACAUUUCAUGAUGAUUGCUAAAAGUGCUAAAGUUACAAAGAUGUCCAAAUAAGGACAUAAUGCCCCAGGGAACAGAAUGGUCUGUGUAUGUCUUUCUGUCUGUUUGCUAUGCAACCCCCCACAGGUAUGUGGUGAUGGAAUCUGAUAAGGAAAACAGCCAUCUGGGGGAGGAGAAUGUUGAAGAAAGAACGACGAUAAAUACUCAUGUGUUUGUCCUGAGCUGGGAGUUGUUGGUCGAAUCUUGCUGUUAAGACUUGAGACAACCCGGCAUGCUGUAACUUUUUCAUAUCUGAUCAAUAAAUAUUCAAUUUAGAUAUUUGUGUCUUUCUCCAUUGAUGAACAUGCUUUGGACGCCUUAAAGUCCAACAAUUGGUGAUCCCCGACGUUGUUGGAGGGAAAAGAAGAUUAAGAGAAGUUUCGAAUUGCUUAAAGAGCACCUAUUAUGAGAUACACGUUUUUAAACAUCCUUUUGUGUGUAAGUGUGUAUUAGUACAUGCUAACGAUAUUCAAAAAGUACAUACCUCAAAGAAAACGAUGACGCGAGUUAUCGUCUCUAACGUUCGAGGACUACAAAAAACACUCGGAUUGUAGGCAACAGUUUACUUCCUGGGAUUAGUGACGUAGAGAAGACCAACAUUAUCAUAGUUCAGCCCUCUCUGCUUCGCUUGGGUACGCCCUCAAAGACGGGGGUGGAGAGCGCUGAGUCAGAAGAGAGCUAAAAUGGCGGAGGUUGGGAGUCCCUGCUUUGACCCUGUUUGCAAACUCUUGUUUCAUCAUUUAAGCAAUUAAAUCUCUCGAGUAGACGCUGUCUCUUUAGAUGCAAGGGCAAAAUAGCACUUUAUGGACUUACACAGAGGACAUCAUGUUUAAUACGGUUCCGGAAAAAUCCAGUCAGAAGUUGUUCACGGAGUUUUCACAAUAACUGCUUCUUAUGAACCGAAGCUGGAUUUGCGCGACGUUUCCUCUUGAAAGUUGGAUUACCGUGCACUUCUGGAUCACAGGCUAUUCGCAGCUGGACACAUCCUUCUACACUGUAUGCAAACAUGCACAUCAUUACACACAGUACAAGGAGUCAGACUGGCAUAUGAGGAGCAAAGGAACCCAGGCAGUAGCAUCGUUUCACAAUGUUUCAAUCACCAUCAUCAGUGGAUGCCUUUGCCGUCCGUAGCCUGAGAUUUCAGAUUUGCAGCAAAAAAAUGUGACUUUCCCAUUUAUUGGAAUGCUGUGCAGGUUGUACCUUGGAGCCAUCCAUUACAAUGUCACCAAGCCGUAACAAAAGCAGGAGAGGGAAAGUACAAGGCUAUGUUCCCAAAACACACAAGUGACAUACUUUAUGUGGAUGAUGUGAUCAGGCUUGUGUUUGAUGAGGUAUUUGAAGAUAAGCUGAAGGAAACCCUGAUUCCAAUGGACCUCGCAUCACAGUUUGAGAGACCUUCAAAGGAGGACGUGAUUGCAUGCCAUCUUCAGUGCAGGGGUCGUCGGAAGCCAACAUUCCGAUCAGGAAGCUCCAAGCAUAUCUGGAGAACAACACACGACAGGAUGAUAACCCUAAAAUGUCGUCUUAGAUAGCAUCAGCUGACAAAGCUUUGAUAUGCCAUUUAUCUGAAUAGAUAGCUGUAAGAAGUGAAUUGAACAAUUUUUGAAAGAAGAGCACAAUAUGGUUACUAAAGUAUGUUUAUUUGUAUAUUGUUUAACAUUUAAAUAUAUAUUUGUAAUAAAUAAACUUUUGACUGACUACUA